GGGCCCGUUGCCUAGCCAGGAACAUUGCGCAAUCCGCGCAAGUUGGAAACCGUGCGUUCAAAUCGCACCGGGCCCGCCA
rnacentral:tRNA from 1 species